UAGGUGUUGUGGUGUAGUUGGUUAUCACGUCAGUCUAACACACUGAAGGUCUCCGGUUCAAGUCCGGGCGACGCCAUCUA
rnacentral:tRNA from 1 species